rnacentral:rRNA from 1 species
UACGUAGGGUGCGAGCGUUAAUCGGAAUUACUGGGCGUAAAGCGUGCGCAGGCGGUUGGUUAAGUCUGAUGUGAAAGCCCCGGGCUCAACCUGGGAAUGGCAUUGGAAACUGUCCAGCUGGAGUGUGGCAGAGGGGGAUGGAAUUCCGCGUGUAGCAGUGAAAUGCGUAGAUAUGCGGAGGAACACCGAUGGCGAAGGCAAUCCCCUGGGCCUGCACUGACGCUCAUGCACGAAAGGCGUGGGGAGCAAACAGG